UUCCUGUUUCCCUUCCAGCGGCCUCAGAAAUUCUGCCACUUACUGGGACGCAUCUGAGGGCAUCGAAGUGGUAGGGUGAGCAAAACAAAGUUGAGUGGAGACGAAUUCAUGCAGCUUGCAUGGUAUGACUGGCAAGACAGAAGCCUGAGAUCCUUAACAAUCUAGGACCAAUUGGAAAAUGAAAAGGUCCUGCAAUCCAAACCUGCUUCAAACGUGGAGUGACAACACAUGUCUGCGAUCCUAGGACCCUAGGAAGAUGGCGGCAAGAAGAUCGGGAAUUCAAGGCCAACCUGAACUAUAAGAGACCCUGUCUCAAAAUAAACUUGUUUCCGUUGCCCCUAUAUACCUCACUUUAAAACAGAAAAUGGCGAUAUAAAAUACCACGUGUUGACAAGAAUGUGAAAUAACUGAAUUUGAUUGUGGUGCUGGAGCACCUCCUUUGAAAAACAAGAACAAUUUGUUACAGAUGUGUACCCUAUGACCUGCCAGUCCCUUGGUCACACAAUUGGUAGGAACAAUACUUACGUUGUGCAGGCAGAUAGGUGCCAGGACACCCAUGGCUGCUUUUGUCUUAAUAGUCUUCAAAUGGGAAUAAUCUAACACCGAUAGAUUAACAUACCUUGUCAUUGUGUAAUGGGAACACUACACAGCAAUGCAAAGGACCCUCUGAAACUGUAGGCAAUAACACAGAAAACGACAGAAACUUACCGUUGAACAUAAAAUGUUAGACACAAAGGUACAUGUUAAAUCCAUUUUUCUCCUUUUUGUUUUGUUUGUAGGGUUUUUUUUUUUGUUUUUGUUUCUGAAACUGUCUGGCUAUAUAUCUGACGCUGGUCAGGUAUGUGCAGUGCAACUAAGGCUGAAUUUCAACUCGCCAACCUCUUAAGUGCUGGAAUUACAAGACUGUGUCAUCAUGCCCGGUGUUCAGUUCACUUCUGCUGUUAACUCUAAACUCUUGACACUAAAAGAGUAACACCCAAGAGCAAAGGACUUUUCUUUUCAUGAACUUCUUGAGAACUGUGAUGCUAGUGAACCAUUACACUUGGCACUGCUAUGCACUGACCCAACUCUUCUUGUUCACAAG
rnacentral:lncRNA from 1 species